CCGGUAGCGGGGACAGGAUUCGAACCUGCGACCUCUGGGUUAUGAGC
rnacentral:tRNA from 1 species